rnacentral:rRNA from 1 species
UACGAAGGGGGCUAGCGUUGCUCGGAUUGACUGGGCGUAAAGGGCGCGUAGGCGGAUAGUACAGUCAGGCGUGAAAUUCCUGGGCUCAACCUGGGGGCUGCGUUUGAUACGUAUUGUCUGGAGUUCGGAAGAGGGUCGUGGAAUUCCCAGUGUAGAGGUGAAAUUCGUAGAUAUUGGGAAGAACACCGGUGGCGAAGGCGGCGACCUGGUCCGUGACUGACGCUGAGGCGCGAAAGCGUGGGGAGCAAACAGG